GGCCGGAAAAGAGGCAUAAACUCGGAGAACCCAAGACCCCGGCCUGGCGUGCAGCCCCAGCAGCCGGACCAGCCUUGGGCAACAGCGUGCGACGUUCAGCUGUCUGUGUCUCCAGUGCUCCCAUUCCAUCGCACCUGAAUGAGGGAUUUGGGAGAGGACACAGCCUCUCGUCGGAACGCUCCUGCACACCCUUCUCGCAACCCCCACCACCUGCCCCCCACUCCCGACCAGAGCAGCCGCCGUCCUGGUGUCUCCCAUCAGAGGGCUGAGCGUGCGUUCGAGCUUCUCCUGCAUCAUGACCAGGAUGCUCUGGGACACCUUGUCCACGUCUGUGUCCACCAGUCCUGCUCAGAAUCUCCCCAGGGGCUUUUCCACGAUGCCCAUCCAGGCGUCACCCUCACUCUAGGCCAGGAGGAGAAGGCAUGCCCUGAGGAUUCAGCCUCUUCUUCUUCAUCCCUCCCAGCACCCAGUGUGUUGGGUGCACACACAGGUGUCGGGCCCCAGGCUGGAGGCCACGUGCCAGGCUGGCAGGAUUUGUCCACUGUGAAGCUCGACGCCCCCGCAGGCCCUGUGCUGCCCGCCCGGAUCCCCCUGCCUCAGGAUGCCCUCCACACCCUCCGAAUUCCCAGCCGCUGCUCUGGGGCCUGCACAGAGGGCUUGGGCCCAGCACCUGGAAACUCCAAAGAGGCAAACGGGUUCAUGUCCAGGUUUUGUCAGAUCGCUUCCGAGGCUGCCCUCUUCGCCGUGGCUGCUGAGUGCAGAGCUGGGCAUCUGAGUGGACAGAGUGGUGCUCCGCUUCCUUGCAUCUCCUGGGCCAUGCGUGGUGACCUGUGCCCACUGCAUCGCUCCUGUGUGCCCUGUGCAUGUGACCGUGUCUUUCCCGUGUAUUCAGUGCUGCUUCAUGUCUUCCAGUUCCGCUUUGUGGUUUGUGAGUGACCAGUGCAUCCCGUUCCUGCUGCAGCAGCUGCAAUGUGCACUGUCCUGCAGGAAGCCCUCGGGGUAGGGCCUGGGGGCUGUGGGAAGCUCAGCAACAAGUGCUCCAUUAUGCCAGGAGGUCUCCUCAGGAUGAGCCCCAUGUGCAGCCUACAUUGUGCUACUCUCUCAGAUCCAGUGUGCAGCUCUCCUCCUGGGACUUCCCUCCACAACUUUUCUCAGUUGAAUCCACUAUGUGUUGGAUCCCAGGUCUUCCUCUUUAUUUUCUCCUUCAUUUUGCUGGAGCACAUCCUCAAGUAACUUUCUAAAAUAAGUUUAAACAGGUAAAUGUUUUGGAAGGUUGAAUGCCACAAAACAUCUUUAUUCUACCUUCAUACUUGACUCAUAAUAUUGCUGGAACCAAUUUCUAAGUUCAAAAUCAUUUUUCAGGAGCUAGGAAUUGAACUCAACCUAUCUAAUUCCAAAAUUAGGGUUAUUUUAUUUGACACGAUCUCUGGCUAGGAAGCAAGCACAACAGCUCCACCGUUAUUGGCAAGUUACUGAAAGCAACCCUUUGACAGCAGCCGCAGAUCCACAGCCAUACAGAAUUUUCCUUUUUAAACAAGUUGCUCACCAUUAGGAUGCUCUGAUUUCUCCAUUUGUAAAAUGAAGAUUCUCUGUCAACUUUUGGUUUUAGUUUUUGGUCUGGCAUAUUUGGUAAGCUACAAGUGAUCUUUGGCUGAAAAUCAGUCAUGUGUGGCGGGUCGUUUCACCAGGUGCCCUGCACCCAGAGAUCUAGGGCCCUCAAUCGUCCUUCAGUUGCUGUCAGUGCAAGGGCAAUCUCACCCAACCCUCCACAGGGAAAGGCAACUGCCACACGCCUCUGAGAGCAGGGAUGCAGCAAGCGCUGACUCUGGGCUUACAGGGGUCCCGCCCAUAACAGCGCACCACAGACCAGGGCUCACCCCACAAACAUUUUUCUCGCUCAGUCCUGGAGGCAGAAAGGCCAACAUCAGGGUGCCAGCAUGGCUGGCGUCUGGUGAGGCUCUCUUCCUGGUUUGCAGACUGUUGCCAUGGUAUUGUGAUAAUAACAAAAUAUAGAUUUGGUCUUCGUCCCAGAUUCCCAACACCAGAGCUUCUAAGAGACCUGGAACCUCUUGAGUGAUGAGCGUGUCUUUUGUGUGCUGACGAGAGGACAGAGCUGGUGACCCUUGGGCAGCUUCAGGAAGGGACUGCUCCCCAGAAAGACCAAGGCAGGACUUAUAGGUGAGGACUUUCAGAUCCACCCCAACCUCCAGGAAGCGGGAGGGGAGAGAGGACAGGAGCUGAAGAUGGAACUGAUUACCGAUGGCCAAGAAUUUAAUCCAUUAUUCUGUUAAUGAAAAACCAAACUCUGUAAAACAUUUUAAAGAGGUUUAUUGGGACCCCUAAUACGGUGACCACAGCUUGGAGAAAAAACAAACCCAAGAAGCCUAGAGUGAGUGUUCCUGAGGUGCCUGGAUUACAGUCUGGCUUCAUGCACUUUAGGGGACAGGCGUUACAGGUGGACGAGAUAUAUAUUGGCUCAGCUCGAACACGCGGGAUAUCUGGAAGCAAGCCUUAUCGGUUAUAGGUGGAUUCAGAGAGUCUUCAGUUUGCGGCUGGUUAAAGGAGCAAAGCUUUAUCUAAAACCUAGAGUCAGCGAUGAGGACAUCUGCACCCGAAACAUGGGGCAGGGGUGACUAACAGGGUGCAUGACUUGACUUAACCCUCGUCUGACAUGGUCUUGGGUCCUGUUUGUAACUGGGGCUCUUAUUGCCACGGUCAGUUCUGUCAGCCUUCUGAUCUCUGUUUUGACAUUAAUGCCUAAAUUCCAAAGGG
rnacentral:lncRNA from 1 species